AGUUUGAUCCUGGCUCAGGACGAACGCUGGCGGCGUGCCUAACACAUGCAAGUCGAGCGAGGUAUUUGCGACUGAUUCCUUCGGGAAGAAGCUGCAAAUCACCUAGCGGCGGACGGGUGAGUAACGCGUGAGGAACCUACCUCCUACAAAGGGAUAGCCUCGGGAAACUGGGAUUAAUACCUUAUGACACUUAAGAGUCGCAUGACUUUUAAGUUAAAGCGUUUUAGCGGUAGGAGAUGGCCUCGCGUCCCAUUAGCUAGUUGGUGAGGUAACGGCUCACCAAGGCGACGAUGGGUAGCCGGCCUGAGAGGGUGGACGGCCACACUGGAACUGAGACACGGUCCAGACUCCUACGGGAGGCAGCAGUGGGGAAUAUUGCACAAUGGGCGGAAGCCUGAUGCAGCGACGCCGCGUGAGUGACGAAGGCCUUCGGGUCGUAAAACUCUGUCCUAAGGGACGAUAAUGACGGUACCUUAGGAGGAAGCCCCGGCUAACUACGUGCCAGCAGCCGCGGUAAUACGUANGGGGCGAGCGUUGUCCGGANUNAUUGGGCGUAAAGGGUGCGUAGGCGGCCUUUUAGUCAGGUGUGAAUCCAUGGNUNNNNNUNUGUANCACUUGAAC
rnacentral:rRNA from 1 species